CCGGGCUGUACGGGUCUCCCGGCUAGUGUCGGGACCCUGCAACGUGCCGCACACACGCGCGAUCAGUGGUCACUGCGGAAACCCAUCCGCACCUGCCUGGGGUCCUCCCGAGCACGUCUCUCUAGUUUCGUUUGCUACGUAAGUGACUAGAAACCAGCACCAAUUCCAGGUCUCCUUGGUGGUUUUCUUGAAUGUGACCAAGGAGCGGUUUCCCCAAAGCGAGACUGCCCUAGGACUGCCAUCUAAUGAAUAAAUGCUGCGGAGACCAGGUUCUCAAAGGAGAAACAGCCCAGCAAUGGCUGGAGAAAGGAGUUUGAAAUACGUGGACUUUUAAAAAUAGUGAUUGGACCACGUGUCGUCUGUGAUGUGGUCCGGUUUCAUGACUCAGGCUAAUUGAUGUCAAUAAUAAAUAAAAAAGAAGAUGGCUAAUAAAAGAGUUGUGAAUUUCUAGAUCGAGUGGAAGUGUUUGUCUCAUAAACAAUCAGGCUGUCUGGUAAGAGGGGAAUUGUUAUAAAGGAAAGAUUCCAAGUUGUUUUAUAUAAACAGAAGAAUUAAAGGACCAUUAAAAUGACGAAGUUAAUCAAGGUCUGAUCCUUCAGGACACACUUCAAAAGAAUGUGUAGCCAUAACCUAUCAAUGGAAUUCAAGACAAAAAUAAAUCAUGAAAUAAAAACUGUAGAAGCAUUCACAGAUAUCCAGCUCACAGGGCCAUAAAUGCUACUUUAAAAGCAAUGUGGAGGCUUCAGAGAGAAUUUGGACAGAGACAAGCUGGGACAUCUUUUGCUGACAAUUUCCAGAACCACAUUCAUAAAAUAUCAGUUAAGGGAAGUUCCUGGGCCAGGAGUGAUACGCACCCUUGGAAUCAUCAUAGAUUCAAGGUAGAGAUUGGAAGGCUUCUGUCCCUGCUCCAGCACCCUGAGCAUAACCUUCUACGGACUGGCCCUGACCUAUCUCCAACCUGAUGGUAGACAUGUUCAAUACCCCACACGGUAGUCUGGGAAAAUAAACAA